AACCGCUGAGAAUGAAGCGGAUAGAGUCGACGAAACUUAAUCAGUAUUCAGCCGACACGCUCGAGCGGUACCGUAUACGUGCGUUACACCCGGCCGUCAAAAGUUGCGCGUGUUUCGUUUUACGUAUACGCUAUUAUGGCUACUGCUUGGCGCUAAUUUCGGUGCAUUUACUGGUUGUAUGCGUUGAGAGCUUCGUAAUUCGCGCACGAAGACGCUCAACAUGCAGAGGCUUGUCGUGUGAAAUACCUCGGCGAGAGACCUAAUGUGAGCGAUUUAUCUCCGGCGUGUCGCUUAUGAAGUUUGCGUUUUUCUUUCUUUCGCGCACAACUGAACACACUCGAACCGUGUUCGCCACCUUCACGGGUGUUUGGACACGAUUCGAGCGUUCAACGCGCUCAUCGUUGACGAAUGGCGGUGCGCGAAAUAGAUAAUAUUUUGUGUUUAUCGCUUUUUUGUUAACGGUGCAAAAUGGCGCUAAAAAAUUUGAGUUGUGUGUCUCGACGUGAACGUCGAUCACCUAUCCGACCCGUCUUGAAACACGGACCAAGGAGUCUAGCGUAUACGCGAGUCAUUGGGUGUGCGAAUGCCUAAAGGCGUAAUGAAAGUGAAUGUCGCGAUUAGCGCGACUGUUAUGCGAUUUGCAAUGUGUUUUCUUAAUUUCACAUUCUUAAUUCAUUGCAAAGCAGCAUAGUCCCGUCUACGUUACACUGUAAUGAGGCGGAGAAUGAGCGUAUGCGCUGGGACCCGAAAGAUGGUGAACUAUGCCUGAGCAGGACGAAGCCAGAGGAAACUCUGGUGGAGGUCCGAAGCGGUUCUGACGUGCAAAUCGAUCGUCUGACUUGGGUAUAGGGGCGAAAGACUAAUCGAACC
rnacentral:rRNA from 1 species